rnacentral:rRNA from 1 species
CAGUAGCCGCGGGAAUACGGAGGGAGCUAGCGUUGUUCGGAAUUACUGGGCGUAAAGCGCGCGUAGGCGGUUACUCAAGUCAGAGGUGAAAGCCCGGGGCUCAACCCCGGAACUGCCUUUGAAACUAGGUGACUAGAAUCUUGGAGAGGUCAGUGGAAUUCCGGGUGUAGAGGUGAAAUUCGUAGAUAUUCGGAAGAACACCAGUGGCGAAGGCGACUGACUGGACAAGUAUUGACGCUGAGGUGCGAAAGCGUGGGGAGCAAACAGGAUUAGAUACCCGCGUAGUCCCUGUCUCUUAUAC